GGGGGUGCGGGGGGAGGGGGAUGCAGGCACCUCACCGGCACACUCUGGUGGCCAGCUGAAGUUUAUCGCUUUGGCUGAGAUUUUCCCUAGUGCUCUACAGAGUUCUAACGGGAGGAAACGACCAGAAACCCGAACCCGGGAUGCGGCAUUUGGUUUUGGAUUUUAGGUCCUUCCAGACAAUACAGGAAAGCUUCAAGGACUUUGCUUGGCGCACAGUGGCACACCUCCCCACCCCUUGGUUCCUCCUGCCUGUGAUUCAGUGUUGGACCCUGAGACCGGAGAUGGGGAGCCCCAGUUGUAGUCCCCGGUGCCUGGGACCCCUGCACCCUGGCAGAGCCACCUGCGCAUGCACAGAUAUGGUGACUCUCAGAAAGAUGCCAUUUAACUCAUUUGCUAUGGUUCCCUCUCCCCUAUGGGUGAUGGAUUAAUCUGGUGGUAAAUAAAAAUGCCUAUCUAAA